rnacentral:pre_miRNA from 1 species
UGGACUUGGCUCUAUUGUGAGCAGUGGGUUGCCAAAAUGAUGUUCACAGUGGCUAAGUUCCAC